GCCUAACUAAGCCAGAAUGUUAUUUCCAAAGAAUAUGAGACAUUCCUUCCUCAAGGUACCUAGUAGUUGUGGAAAAUAUCACGUGGAUUGUAAAUCAUUGAUUUCGAGCUCUGUGGGCACUAGGACCCAGUGAGAAUCGGUGACGCUGAAGCUCCGCCAACAAUGUGCGUCACGGCGUUGAUCACGCAAGCGCGAAUUCAAAGGUGGCAGCCGUUAACAGACAGUUCUUCCCGGGAAAAAGGCACCAGAAUUGGAAAUCUGAGACUUGCAGGAAGCUGAAUAUCUUUGAAAACUUGGAGAUUUUUCUUUUGCUACAGUUUUUCUACCUUUUUCAGCUGCAACAUCAAGCAGGACGUUUUAAAUUUGAAAUCAAUGAAGUUGUUUCAGAAUUUCACAGGGUAUUAAGAAGAGAUUUCUACAGUUUGGAGUCUGAAACCAAACAUUACAUCAGGAUCUGACCGAGUUGUCCAAUUUACCAGUACCUGAAUAUCAUUGGAUGUUGAGCAUGGAAAGAAAAAGAACCAUUCAGUGUCAGGAGAAACCGUAUGUGUGUUCUUUGUGUGGACGAGGUUUCAGGCAAUCAUCUGGUCUGUCGAAACAUAAGUGCAAUCAUGCUGGGGAGAAACCGUGGAAAUGCGGGGACUGUGGGAAGGGAUUUAAAUCACCUUCAAAGCUGGAAAUGCACAGGCGCAGUCACACUGGGGAGAGGCCAUUCACCUGCACCAGAUGUGGGAAAGGAUUCACUCAAUCAACUCAUCUCCUGAAACACCAGCGGAUCCACACAGGGGAGAGACCAUUUACCUGCUCUCAGUGUGGGAAAGGAUUCACUCAGUCAACCCACUUGCAGGGACAUCACCGUGUUCACACUGGGGAGAGGCCAUUUAUUUGCACUGAGUGUGGAAAGGGGUUCACUCACUCAUCCAACCUGCUAAAACAUAAACGAGUUCACACUGGAGAGAGGCCAUUCAUCUGCUCUGUGUGUGGGAAAGGAUUCACUCAGUUAUCCAGUUUGCUGUCACACCAGCGAGUCCACACAGGGGAGAGGCCAUUUACCUGCUCUGAGUGUGGGAGGGGAUUCGCUGUCUCAUCUGACCUGCUAAGACACCAGCGUGUCCACAAUGAAGAGGGACCUGAAGUGCUGUAAUACUUCUCGGGACCUGAUGUCCCAUCAACAUGUUCACACUGACAAAAGACUAUUUAGAUGCUCUAACUGGGGUCUGGUUAAAAUGAUCAUCUCAACUCCAUAGUACACCAGCGAGUUCACACUGGAGAGAGGACAUUUCAUUGUUCCCAGUGCAAGAAGAGAGACCCUCAGUUAUCCCAUUGGUUGAAACACUAGCGAGUUGAAAAGUGACUACAGACUUUGGAUUUUGUUAAUGGUUGAUGAGGAUGUAUGGAAUGUUGUCUACUAUUAAAGUUAACUAUCAACUGAGACUGUAGAAGAUGCAUUCGAGUCAGGGACAUAAGAAUGGAAAUUGCAGGAUCAGUUGUCAAUAUUUUUUCAAUUCUAAUACUUAUUAAGGAUAGUAGAGAAUUGAAGAGUUUUUAAUUGAGAGGGGUUACAGGGAGGUAGCCACACCUCAGGUACAAAUAAAAAGCAAAUGGGUUACAGUCAGGGGACGGAAAGGGAAUCAGCAGACAGUGCAGGGUUCCCCUGUGGCCAUUUCUUUAAUAAUAGUUAUAUUGUUUGACAGGGGUGACUUAUCAGGGGUAAGCCAUGGGGUACAGGUCUCUGGCACAGAAUCUGUCCCUGUUGCUCAAAUGGGAAAGA